GGCAGACGGGUGAGUAACGCGUGGGAACCUACCUUUAGGUACGGAACAACAGUUGGAAACGACUGCUAAUACCGUAUGUGCCCUAUGGGGGAAAGAUUUAUCGCCUAAGGAUGGGCCCGCGUUGGAUUAGCUAGUUGGUGGGGUAAAGGCCUACCAAGGCGACGAUCCAUAGCUGGUCUGAGAGGAUGAUCAGCCACACUGGGACUGAGACACGGCCCAGACUCCUACGGGAGGCAGCAGUGGGGAAUAUUGGACAAUGGGCGCAAGCCUGAUCCAGCCAUGCCGCGUGAGUGAUGAAGGCCCUAGGGUUGUAAAGCUCUUUCAGCGAGGAGGAUAAUGACGUUACUCGCAGAAGAAGCCCCGGCUAACUUCGUGCCAGCAGCCGCGGUAAUACGAAGGGGGCUAGCGUUGUUCGGAAUCACUGGGCGUAAAGCGCACGUAGGCGGACUUUUAAGUCAGGGGUGAAAUCCCGGGGCUCAACCCCGGAACUGCCUUUGAUACUGGAAGUCUUGAGUCCGAGAGAGGUGAGUGGAACUCCGAGUGUAGAGGUGAAAUUCGUAGAUAUUCGGAAGAACACCAGUGGCGAAGGCGGCUCACUGGCUCGGUACUGACGCUG
rnacentral:rRNA from 2 species